UGGGGGAUAUUGCACAAUGGGCGAAAGCCUGAUGCAGCGACGCCGCGUGGGGGAUGAAGGCCUUCGGGUUGUAAACUUCUUUUGCUCUGAACAAGGCAUGCUAAUGGGUGUGUUGAGUGUAGGGGUUGAUUAGCGCCGGCUAACUACGUGACAGCAGCCGAGGUAAUACGUAGGGCGCGAGCGUUGUCCGGUAUUAUUGGGCGGAAAGGGCUUGUAGGUGGCUGGUUGCGUCUGUCGUGAAAGCUCCUGGCUUAACUGUGGGUUUGCGGUGGGUACGGGCUGGCUUGAGUGCAGUAGGGGAGGCUGGAAUUCCUGGUGUAGCGGUGGAAUGCGCAGAUAUCAGGAGGAAUACCGGUGGCUAAGGCGGGUCUCUGGGCUGUUACUGACACUGAGGAGCGAAAGCAUGGGGAGCGAACAGG
rnacentral:rRNA from 1 species